GACGAACGCUGGCGGCGUGCUUAACACAUGCAAGUCGAACGGUGAAAGCGGAGCUUGCUCCGCUGGAUCAGUGGCGAACGGGUGAGUAACACGUGGGCAACCUGCCCCUCACUUCGGGAUAACUCCGGGAAACCGGGGCUAAUACCGGAUAUGACCUCCUUGGGCAUCCUUGGAGGUGGAAAGUUUUUCGGUGAGGGAUGGGCCCGCGGCCUAUCAGCUUGUUGGUGAGGUAGUGGCUCACCAAGGCGACGACGGGUAGCCGGCCUGAGAGGGCGAGCGGCCACACUGGGACUGAGACACGGCCCAGACUCCUACGGGAGGAAGCAGUGGGGAAUAUUGCGCAAUGGGCGGAAGCCUGACGCAGCAACGCCGCGUGCGGGAUGACGGCCUUCGGGUUGUAAACCGCUUUCAGCAGGGAAGAAGCCGCAAGGUGACGGUACCUGCAGAAGAAGCACCGGCUAACUACGUGCCAGCCGCCGCGGUAA
rnacentral:rRNA from 1 species